AAAUAAGAAGCAAUAAGUGCAUUUAAUUUCGACUUAAAAAAAGAGUAUAAGAUUACUCCUUAUUUA
rnacentral:tRNA from 1 species